rnacentral:lncRNA from 1 species
CUUCAAUACUUGUUCAAAACAUUGCAGUAUUUUUGUACCAUUUAUAUCAGCUUUUGAUCAUGCCAGCAUAUCUUUUGACUAAACUGAUCAUAAAAUACAUUUAUUUUAGAGUGUAUGACGCGUUAUAUCAAGCAUUUAGAUAAGCUUCUGAAACCAUGGUUCAAAAGAUGGCAUAAUACUUUAUGUUGCACUGUUUGAUUAAAAGUUCAAUACACUGGAUCCAUUGAAUCACCACUGUGUUCUUUUCCUUCCUUCUUUAAAUUAAGAAAGAUGCUGUUAAUCAAGUAUAUUUUUGCAAGAUUUGUUUUUGCCACUUUAUCGAGGAGAAAAAUAAUCGGGAAUAUGUGAAACUUAAAUAUUACCUAAUAUAAAUAUAUCAAGAAAUUGAGAAAAUCUCUGAAAUAAAUCGCAAGAAGUUGGCUAGAAAUUAAAAGCACAUUAAGACCGUUGUGACCUUCUGCUGUUGUUUUUUUCUAUGGUCGGGUUGUUGUCUCUUUGGCACAUUCCCCAUUUCCAUUCUCAAUUUUAUUUACAAAUAUUAGUUGAUUCACACUUUUUAUCACUAUCAUUUGAACUUUAUUGUAAAUAACUAUUGUAAGGUUCUCCUUUUCUUUGGGAUCUAUACUAUUUUGAAAGUCACUGCAAAGAAGGAAGCAACAUACAUUUAAUUUUCAUCCUGAAUAUGCUUGAAAUAUUUGCCACUAGAUAUUAUGCUAAGAACAAUCGAUAAAGCCAUUUUAGAUGGUGAUUUUUCCCUAUAUGGUCUUGUGUUCAUAAUAUUUAUAACAUUGAACUAACAUUAAAAACAUAGAAUUUUAUUGAAAACUUCACUAUAAAUACAAAGGCACAUAUCUGAAACAGUACAUGUAAUAAUUAGGAAAGCAUUUUGCAAAAAUUGAAUGAUAGAUAUAAAAAAUUAUGAUUUAGACAUUUUGUGUUUGAAUAUUAAUAAAUGUAUGAAUAAUACACAUUCAAACAAAGAAAUAUAUACUAUAGAAAACAUUACCUCUCAAAUCGUUGGUUUCAUUUUUUUGUAAGCAUAUUUUUAGAAAUUUUAUGUAUUAAGAAAUUUCAUAUUUACAUAUCUUUUUGGUUAUAAAGAUUCUAAAGCGAUGUUAAAUUUCCUUUCCAGGUGAUCAAUUUAACUAAACAAUAAGUUAACAAUUACAUGUGCAUAGAGCUUCAUUAAUUGUAUCUUGAGACACAAAAUCAUAGUAUUCUUCAUAAAAAGCGGGUCUAAUUAAUAAUUUUGUCCUAAUUCAUAGAUUUUUCAAUCAGCGCUUUUCAUACCGUCAUUAAUUUGGGUUAGCUCCCUUAUUCAUGUGUUCUGUAUAUGAAUAUUGAAUUAGUUUGGGUUUUAUUUGUAAACAUGACAGAUAUACAUUCACUAUGUAGUGAAGAGCAAACUUAAAAAAUAUUUGAAAUCAAGCUUUUUGUUUUACAUUGUUUGUCAAAAUUUUCAUUGAUAAUUGUCCCUGAUUUUGUAGUCCAUCAUUUAAUUGUUGGCGCUUUAUUUGAUUAAAAAAAAAAUGGAAUAUUUAGCCAUAUUUUCUACUGGUAUAGAUUUUUACUGGAUUUUUAGACUUUCAAAAAUGUUCAAUACAGAAAAGAGUAAAUAAAAAAUCCUGGUGCUUCUACUUCGUUGAUGUUUUUUUAAGAGAAAAAGAUGUUUGCAUUUUAUAAAUACAAACAUAAAAUUAAUAAACUGAUGUAGCUGUACAAUAUUAAUUAUGCAUGAUGAAAGGGAGGCUUUUAAAAAAAAAUAUGGUUGUAAAGAUUUAUGUUUGUAUUGUAUUAUUUCUGUGUGAUAUUAUUUGUAUAUUGUCAGUUACACUACAAAAAUUAUGAGUACAUAAUGAUUUGAUAAGUUAAUAAAUUAUAUUUGUCCAUAUAAAAAGCAUGCUAUGAAAAGGAUUGUAACUGUAAUAUAAAAGUGGUAAACUUAAAGCUUCAUUCAAUAGUAUUUCAAAGAUGGAUAUUUCUGUGGGUUAAUUUUUCAUGAUUUCAAUGUAUAAACUUUUGGUUUUAUUCACUCAUUCACCAAUAAGUUCUGUACCAAUAUUGUGUUGAAUUAUUAAAGCUGUUGGUAUUUUGCUACAUUUUACAUGAUCCCUAGAUUAGUGAAGAUAGCUCCAGCACAAAAAUAUUGUCAUUCACAGUAACUGUGUGUCCUUCCUACAUUAAAAUAAAGUUAUCUCCCCUUUUCAUUCACACAGUAACAUAAAGAAAAAUGUAUAUGUAUUAUGUGUUUCACCCACUUGCCAACUGCAAUGGACUUAUAACUUACAUUAGUGUAUUUGUGACAUGUAUGUGCAUUCAUCUUUAGUUUUUACGAUACACUUUGAGUCAUACAAUGAUUAAAAGUAGAGUCUAGCUGUUACUUAUUUUUUUUUUUUCACUUCUUUUGUAAAUGUUAUAUUUAUAUUGUAUAUUUUCUUAUUAUUUAUUACCUUACGUAAUACUGUGCAAAUCCAUGGAAUAUGUUUACCACUCCGAUCACCACAUUAUUUCCCGUACUUUGUAUGAUGUAUUUGAGGGACAGAUUUAGGUUACGAUAAAACAAUAAACUGUGAUUGGUUUCUGUUAUGUAUAAUAUAUGGAAUAUACAACUGUGGUCUUUGUUGGUUAAUAAAUUGUGAUAUACCAUGGUUAAUUUGCUUUAUUUACCUUUAUUUAUUUUGUCUGUUUAGUUAACGCAUCAAUGUAAAUAUAACAGAAUUUGAUGAGACUGUCAUCAAAGUGAGAGGGUUAGUGCUAUAAAACCAGGUUUAAUCCACCAUUUCCUACAUUUGAAAAUGCCUGUACCAAGUCAGGAAUAUGACAGUUCUUGUCCAUUUGUUUUUGAUGCGUUUUGUUAUUUGAUUUUGCUAUGUGAUUAUGGACGUUCCGAAUUGAUUUUCCUCUAAGUUCAGUAUUUUUGUGAUUUUACUUUUUGCUAAGAGUGUUGGGAUGAAUGAUGAAUAGGGGUGUCAAAUCAGUGAAUAAUUUCUAAUCAAGUACUCGUUGGUUUUACAGAUUGAUAAUCAAGUACUCGCUUAGUUAAUAUCUGGAAAAAUAAAACACUACUAUACAUAUUUUACCCUUGAUGGGUAACUGUCUAGUUGACGUUGCACAUUAUAAGCCGGGGCUAGACCACAGUCAAAGGAAUAAUAUAUAAUAAUUUUUCAAGCA